AAUUACAACCCUGAAUUACCGAAAGUGUUGUGAAAGCAGAAGGGACUAGAGAUGAUGCGUAGUGGGUUAUGGACUACGUGUAAAGUUUCAACAACAAUCCUCUCUUAAAAGAGAAACUGUUUAGUUUUAAGUAAUAGAUGAAUGUGGCUUUGAGGAACGUGAAGAGAAGCGGUUACGUCAAUCACCCGGAAAGCCUUGGAGAAGUGGUCCAGAGAUCUGAUACCCUCACAGCCUCGUCAGUUGUCUUGGUUUGUUUGGCAGGGUAGUCCACCAAAGGGGGACAUCUUGAAGAGACACAGCUCGACCUAGCAAUCCAGUUCUUUGUUUUGGUCAUCAUCUGUGAGGCCAGCAUCCGAGUGUAACAGGAAUCUAGGAGCUGUAUCAAAAAGAGAUGGAACCAAUGAUAGCAAAUGCUGAUGAAGAGAAAAGCUGGACAAGCAGUUUUUUGAUGAUUAAUACCGAAGGGACAGGAUGAAGCAAGGAAGCAAAAAUGCAGUUUAGCGGACCCUUGAUAUCACCAGAACCUGCUGCAGUAGGAGGUGUUCUGGCGUGGGUGACUAAGAUUAAUUGCUAUGGCUGAAGUUGAAGAGACCAGAAAAACGUAAGCAAGCUGAAGUAAUGAAAUCAAACGGAGCCAACUGAGAGCUGCCUGCAUCGCCCAAAAAGGGAAAGCCCGUUCCUCCUGGCGAGGAAGGAUCGCCAUUAAUAGCGGUCGGACUAAUAGAUCACCAACAUAUAAGGUCUGAAGGCGUUCAGAACGUCGGGGAACGACUGCGUGCUGCCGUGAAGAACUACAGGCCACCGUCCUCAGCCCUUCGUAAGUUAUCACAUGUCAAGAGUGGCCAGGAGAAUCAAAACGCCAGCGGAAAGGUUCUCCGCCUGGUCCUGACAAGGAGCCUUUGGCCGUAGGAGGGUCAGCUGCGUCCUUACUGGACUUGUGAGUAAUAAGCCGCAAUUCACGGACCAGCAAAGGAGGGGGGAACAGCGACCGGUAGCCCAGUCGCUACGGCAUUGCUGUUGCUAGCAGGGCCGCAAGGCCCAUGUGAAGCCUCAGCUGCCUCUUUGGAGCUUUAUUGUGGUCUGUUUACCAGGAAAAAGCAGUGAGGCCUCAAAUAAGAAUUUUCGUGGCUAGAUGGGUAAGCCGUGACCCCAGCUGUCUUUGCCUUGCUUUGCUGCUUAAUGUCGUAACAGCAACUCGGGACCCCAGAAUAAAAACUGUUACAGUGCUUAAGGGAGGAUCUGC
rnacentral:lncRNA from 1 species